GGGGAUAUAGCUCAGUGGUAGAGCGUCCGCUUCGCAUGCGGAAUGUCAAGGGUUCAAACCCCUUUAUCUCCA